rnacentral:rRNA from 1 species
CCUACGGGAGGCAGCAGUGAGGAAUAUUGGUCAAUGGGCGGGAGCCUGAACCAGCCAAGCCGCGUGAAGGAAGAAGGCGCCAGGCGUCGUAAACUUCUUUUGUCGGGGAGCAAAGGCGGAGACGCGUCUCCGGAUGAGUGUACCCGAAGAAAAAGCAUCGGCUAACUCCGUGCCAGCAGCCGCGGUAAUACGGAGGAUGCGAGCGUUAUCCGGAUUUAUUGGGUUUAAAGGGUGCGCAGGCGGGAGAUCAAGUCAGCGGUAAAAUGUCGGGGCUCAACCCCGGCCGGCCGUUGAAACUGGUUUUU